GAUGAACGCUAGCGGCAGGCCUAACACAUGCAAGUCGAGGGGUAGAACACUUAGGUGUUUGAGACCGGCGCACGGGUGCGUAACGCGUAUGCAAUCUACCUUAUACAGGGGAAUAGCCCAGAGAAAUUUGGAUUAAUGCCCCAUAGUAUUAUUGAAUGGCAUCAUUUAAUAAUUAAAGUUCCAACGGUAUAAGAUGAGCAUGCGUCCCAUUAGUUAGUUGGUAAGGUAACGGCUUACCAAGACGAUGAUGGGUAGGGGUCCUGAGAGGGCGAUCCCCCACACUGGUACUGAGACACGGACCAGACUCCUACGGGAGGCAGCAGUGAGGAAUAUUGGUCAAUGGUCGCAAGACUGAACCAGCCAUGCCGCGUGCAGGAAGACGGUCCUAUGGAUUGUAAACUGCUUUUAUACAGGAAGAAACCCUCCCACGUGUGGGAGCUUGACGGUACUGUAGGAAUAAGGAUCGGCUAACUCCGUGCCAGCCGCCGCCGUAAAAC
rnacentral:rRNA from 1 species